rnacentral:rRNA from 1 species
UGGGGAAUAUUGCACAAUGGGGGAAACCCUGAUGCAGCGAUGCCGCGUGGAGGAAGAAGGUUUUCGGAUUGUAAACUCCUGUCUUAAAGGACGAUAAUGACGGUACCUCAUGAAUAAGCCACGGCUAACUACGUGCCAGCAGCCGCGGUAAUACGUAGGUGGCAAGCGUUAUCCGGAUUUACUGGGUGUAAAGGGCGCGUAGGCGGGGAUGCAAGUCAGAUGUGAAAUCUAUGGGCUUAACUCAUAAACUGCAUUUGAAACUGUAUCUCUUGAGUGCUGGAGAGGUAGACGGAAUUCCUUGUGUAGCGGUGAAAUGCGUAGAUAUAAGGAAGAACACCAGUGGCGAAGGCGGUCUACUGGACAGUAACUGACGCUGAGGCGCGAAAGCGUGGGGAGCAAACAGGAUUAGAUACC